rnacentral:tRNA from 4 species
GCUCCUGUCGUUCAACGGAUAGGACAACAGCCUUCGAAGCUGUAUAUGGGGGUUCGAUUCCCUCCGGGAGCACCA